CCGACCUACAGUUGAGUUGCCCUGAUCGAUUGUCGUGAUCAACUAGCACAGGUGCAAGGUCUGGCCAACCUUACAUCAGUGCUUUUUGUUCGUGGCAUGAGAUUGGGACAGCUCGCCUGUAGGCCUGGAAAGAUCAAGCGGAAGUACCACCAAACUUUGAUUUGUGACCGGCUUUUUGUCUGUAUGGCUUUAUCCAGCGUUUUCCCGUUACCAUUUUGAUGCAGACUUUGGGAUUUUGGCUUGAAUAUCUUUAAUAUAAACAUUCUUUGAGCUUUAAUCUUUCAAGAAUUUCAUGGCUUUUGACUAGUUAAUGUGUUUCUCGCAGAUACUAUAAUUGUAUUAAAAAUAUUGACCAAAAAAUUUAAAACUGACCAAAACAUCAUUUGAGGUGUCGGAUGGGAGGUCCAGUGGGAGUCCUAGCGGAUACCAAUGGAUAAAUACGGAUAUUGUGACACUGUGUACUAUUGGACAUAUUGUGAACAUUUAUGGAUAAUUGGAACAUUAAUGAUUACAACGAACACUUAUGAAUUAUUAUGAACAUUUGUGGAUAAAAUGUACCUCGCAAUCGACGGUUACCUACCAAUGUACCUUGACAACGAAAGCUGCACGACGGCAACGAGAUGACUGCCUCAAGGUUAGAGGGUUUAGUCUGGUAACAAGCAGUUGUUAGCUUGUUAUCAGGCAGUAGUUAGCCUGCUAUCAGGCAGUAGUUAGCCUGCUAACAGGCAGUAUAUCUGUACGAUUCAUACCCAGGACUCUAAUUUGCAUGUGGUCGAUGAAGUCUCUGGGUUAACCGGUUUAAAAUUCCUGGCGGUCUGUCUUUAGUAGUACAUUUGCACGCAAGAUUGAUUUUUAUUCGGAUACUUGCAUGCUAAUAAAAAUUGAGGCAGGAUAUUUGACCUCCGUUAAUAAGAAUUUCGACAUCAUCUGAAUUGAAAGUCAAUCUUAACGAGGUUAACAUUUGAGCUUUCGAUCACGUGGUUCGUUGCAUGCACUCGGUUCGGUCAUUGGUGGGUUUCAGUAAGUGUUACAAUCCAAACGAUUGUCAACAUCGGAAAUGUUGGCACUUCCUGGAGCAAUUUAUUUUGCUUCAAAUACCAGACUACUACAUAAAGUGAAAAGGAGUGAACAUUAUUUUUUCACUCUAGUAACUCGUAGUGAGACCCACUAGGUAUUUGCGGUCUGUUCGUGCCAAUGUUGUUCUCUUUGUGUAAAUGUACUGCUUAGGUGUCUGUGCAUGGAUGAACGCAGCGCGCAGCUAGUAUCCAGAAUAUAGGCAGAUAAGUAAAACCUUGCUAGACUUAAAAAUUUUGUUUAUAUCUAUAUGUUAUGUUCAUAAAUGUAUAGAAAUAUCAUGAAAUGUGUUAGGCUUUGGCUUGGGGUUAAAUCUAACCCUAUAACCUUAACCUUAAUCCAUUACGUGAUCUGCAUAUUUGUGUACGUAAUAUAUGGGUGUAGCCAAAAUUUUGUAUAAAAGCUGGCAUAGUUUUCCUUGGAUAGGAUAACUAAAUUGGAUGCAAAUGGUAUCCAUAGCUUAGAGGGUGCAAAUGGUACCCGUAAGAAGAUUGGUGGAUAUCGUGGUGGACAAGAUCAGCUUAGGACUGUAAUGACGAAAUUAUUGUAAUGAUAAAUAGUCUAGGCUUUAUUGAAUAAUAAAUUGGCUGGAAAUAUCUUCGCCCGUAGUGCAUGUAUAUCGCUGGUUUCGAACGUUAGUUUUCUGCCCCGGGUUAUAUGAAAACAGUUCGCUACCAGAGAUUUAGGUCCCCUCACUGUUUUGACGGCUCGACGAUGGAAGACAUUAACAUAAGGCAUGCUAAUCUUACCCCUGUUUGUGGAAGCUCACCAGGUGCGAUCGGCACACUAGGUUAAGUUAAGCUAGGGGCAUGACCGAGACUCCACAUUCGGGGGUUUCCCUUGCAGGUUUUUGAAAUGAUAUGUGCGCGCGCACUAGUUAGGAAGGUUAGGCAGCUAGAAAUAGGGCGCUUUGCAUGUAUACCAUAAGGCAUAUAUACUAUAACUCAUCGUCUACUUUUGCGCCAGUAAUUCUGAGAAGUAUUUAGCACAACAGGAAAAUGGAAUCUGUUUUCCUGUUGAAAAAUACUUACAGAACCAAUUCAAAGUGGAAAAACAAUAUUGCG